rnacentral:lncRNA from 1 species
CAUCUUCUAGUUAUAUAAAAGCUAAUCUCCAAGUUAUAAGGACAGAAAUAUGGGAGGGGAAAGACACAAGAGAACCCUGCUAGCUAGCUCAACCCACAAUUGGCUUAGAAGACGAAAGGCUUAAAUAUAGAUAGAUAGAUAGAUAGAUAGAUAGAUAGAUAGAUAGAUAGAUAGAUAGAUAGAUAGAUAGAUAGAUAGAUAGAUAGAUAGAUAGAUAGAUAGAUAGAUAGAUAGAUAGAUAGAUAGAUAGAUAGAUAGAUAGAUAGAUAGAUAGAUAGAUAGAUAGAUAGAUAGAUAGAUAGAUAGAUAGAUAGAUAGAUAGAUAGAUAGAUAGAUAGAUAGAUAGAUAGAUAGAUAGAUAGAUAGAUAGAUAGAUAGAUAGAUAGAUAGAUAGAUAGAUAGAUAGAUAGAUAGAUAGAUAGAUAGAUAGAUAGAUAGAUAGAUAGAUAGAUAGAUAGAUAGAUAGAUAGAUAGAUAGAUAGAUAGAUAGAUAGAUAGAUAGAUAGAUAGAUAGAUAGAUAGAUAGAUAGAUAGAUAGAUAGAUAGAUAGAUAGAUAGAUAGAUAGAUAGAUAGAUAGAUAGAUAGAUAGAUAGAUAGAUAGAUAGAUAGAUAGAUAGAUAGAUAGAUAGAUAGAUAGAUAGAUAGAUAGAUAGAUAGAUAGAUAGAUAGAUAGAUAGAUAGAUAGAUAGAUAGAUAGAUAGAUAGAUAGAUAUAAACAGUUGGGAGGGAAAGGUAAAGUAGAGUUUGACCAAAAUGAGCUGGUGAUACCUUGUAGGAGUAAACAAGGAACCAGAAACCUUGGCAGCUUUAUAGAAACUGAGGUUGGGCUGCUAAAGUGAAAUAAGAGAGCAGCUCAUUGCAGCAUCCCCAUGGACACCAAAUACAAAUGAGAAAAAGGAGGAAAAUCUUAUCACAGCAGGCAUAAAAUCUGCACCAGAAGCAAUCUUGCUACUCCCAUAUCUCCUCUUUGUAAAUGUAACAAUCAUUAGAAGAAGAAGAAGAAGAAGAAGAAGAAAAAGGGGAUAGAAGGAAGUUCCAUAUAGGAUCAAACUUGUACUCAAAUGUGCAUCGGAAACCAAAUUUGGGGAAGAUUCUUCUGGGAGACAGGAAAGUGAACCUUUCCUUUCAGAGUAUAAAGACACAACAAUGUCGUUUAGCCAAUUAACAGCUCAUACAAAUCUAAACUAGAAGAAAGCAGAUUCCCUUUCCCCCAAUUGAGUUAAUAAGGAUGGAAUGAAUGUCUAUUCAAAACCCUAGAACCUCCUCAAUUAGCAACUUACUGAUAAGGGAUCAGUCUCAAAAUCUCCUAUUAGAUGAUGACUGUGCAAGCUCUCAAAUUAAAAGUGAACUUGGUGGGUUAGUGGGUUGAAUAAUGGAGCAAGCUGUUUCAAAUUGUAAAUCAAAGAAGAAAUAAUCCAAAGACAGCAAGAAACAACAAGAAGCUAAGAAAAGGGAAAGCUUUCAGAUGAGAAAAGGGGUAAGUUGUCCAAGGAAAGGUUAAGAAGCAUCAAACUCUAAAUGAAAUGUGCCUUCAAUUCAAAGCAUAGAAAUGAAACAGGGAAUUUCCUGAGAGAUGGGUUGAUCGGAGUAACUUGAAACGGAAAGAGAGGGCGAGAGAGCAUCUAAAUGCUGGCCUAGAUUUCGGACAAAGAAGAAAAACCCCAAAACAACAACUGGGUUUGGUUUGGUAGACCAGAAGGAGAAUCAAAUUCCAGGUCUUUAUUAUCACAAACAAUCAUCAAAUGCAAUAGUGCUGUACUCCUGUAGUGUGAGCCUGGCCUAGAGCUCGGCUAGGAAAAAAAUAAGAGAUGGGAGCCAAGCGAGUUGUUUAUUAGAGGAAAUACAAAAGUUACUUACUUUGGCUUAUACCUGCUCAAGUGAGAGAGCUAGCAGCAGGUUAUGUGUAUAAUUU